rnacentral:rRNA from 1 species
GGGUAACCUGCCCUAUCGUUUUGAAUAACCUCGGGAAACUGAGAACAAUACAUCAUAGUCCACUACGCCUGGAACGGUGAGUGGAUGAAGGUAGGAUGGGCCUGCGGCGUAUCAGGUUGUAGGGGGUGUAAUGGACCUCCUAGCCAUCGACGCGUACGGGUGUUGGGAGACAUAGCCCGGAGAUGGAUUCUGAGACACGAAUCCAGGCCCUACGGGGCGCAGCAGUUACGAAAACUUGGCAAUGCGGGAAACCGUGACCAGGGAACUCCAAGUGAGUCUCUUUUAGGGGCUCUUUUCUUGACUCUAAAACGGUCUUGGAAUAAGGGGUGGGUAAGGACGGUGCCAGCCGCCGCGGUAAUACCGGCGCCUCAAGUGGUCGUCGCUUUUAUUGGGCCUAAAACGUCCGUAGCCGGUUUGGUACAUUCGUGGGUAAAUCAGCUCGCUCAACGAGUUGAAUUCUGCGAGGACGGCCAGACUAGGGACCGGGAGAGGUGUGGGGAACUCUCAGGGUAGGGGUAAAAUCCUGUCAUCCUGAGAGGACCACCUGUUGCGAAGGCGCCACACUAGAACGGAUCCGACGGUCAGGGACGAAGCCUAGGGGCACGAACCGGAUUAGAUACCCGGGUAGUCCUAGGUGUAAACGCUGUGGACUUGGUGUUGGGGAAGCCCAGAGCUUUCCCAGUGCCGUAGCGAAGGUGUUGAGUCCACUGCCUGGGGAGUACGGUCGCAAGGCUGAAACUU